AAGAAAGUGACAGAGUGGGAAUGUGCUUGACUUGAAAUCAAGCUACGGGGGUUCGAAUCCCCCCUUUCUCG
rnacentral:tRNA from 1 species